UUACGGCCAUAUCACGGUGAAAAACCGGUUCUCAUACGAUCACCAAAGUUAAGCAAAGUUGACAUUGGUCAGUCCUAGAUGGGUAACCACUUGGGAAUACCAGGUGCU